rnacentral:rRNA from 1 species
AAGCCUUUACAGGGAAAGUUUUAACGCCGAAAGAUGAGCCCGCACUUGAUUAGCUAGUUGGUAAGGUAAAAGCUUACCAAGGCAACGAUCAAUAGCUGUUCUUAGAGGAAGACCAGCCACAUUGGGACUGAGACACGGCCCAGACUCCUACGGGAGGCAGCAGUGGGGAAUCUUGCACAAUGGGGGAAACCCUGAUGCAGCGAUGCCGCGUGAGUGAAGAAGGCCCUUGGGUUGUAAAACUCUUUCGUCGGGGAAGAAAAUGACUGUACCCGAAUAAGAAGGU